UAAGCGGAGGAAAAGAAACCAACAGGGAUUGCCCUAGUAACGGCGAGUGAAGCGGCAACAGCUCAAAUUUGAAAUCUGGCUACAUCCCGUAGUCCGAGUUGUAAUUUGUAGAGGAUGCUUUUGGUGAGGUGCCUUCCGAGUUCCCUGGAACGGGACGCCAUAGAGGGUGAGAGCCCCGUACGGUUGGAUACCAAGCCUCUGUAUAGCUCCUUCAACGAGUCGAGUAGUUUGGGAAUGCUGCUCUAAAUGGGAGGUAUAUCUCUUCUAAAGCUAAAUAUAGGCUAGAGACCGAUAGCGCACAAGUAGAGUGAUCGAAAGAUGAAAAGCACUUUGAAAAGAGAGUUAAACAGCACGUGAAAUUGUUGAAAGGGAAGCGCCUAUGACCAGACUUGUUUCUGGCAGUUUCGUUAGCCCUCGGGCUGAUUUACUCUGUCCAGUACAGGCCAGCAUCAGUUUGCUGUCGGGGAGAAAGGCUCUGGGAACGUAGCUCCCCCCUUCUGGGGGGAGUGUUAUAGCCCUCUGCAUAAUACCCUUCGGCAGACUGAGGACCGCGCUUCGGCAAGGAUGCUGGCGUAAUGGUCAUCAGCGACCCGUCUUGAAACACGGACCAGGAGUCAACCUUAUGUGCGAGUGUUUGGGUGUAAAACCCCAGCGCGUAAUGAAAGUGAACGUAGGUGAGAGCUUCGGCGCAUCAUCGACCGAUUCUGAUGUUUUCGGAUGGAUUUGAGUAAGAGCACACAGGGUUGGACCCGAAAGAAGGUGAACUAUGCUUGUAUAGGGUGAAGCCAGAGGAAACUCUGGUGGAGGCUCGCAGCGGUUCUGACGUGCAAAUCGAUCGUCAAAUAUGAGCAUGGGGGCGAAAG
rnacentral:rRNA from 1 species